AGACCCGAAACCCGGUGAUCUAGCCAUGGGCAGGUUGAAGGUUGGGUAACACUAACUGGAGGACCGAACCGACUAAUGUUGAAAAAUUAGCGGAUGACCUGUGGCUGGGGGUGAAAGGCCAAUCAAACCGGGAGAUAGCUGGUUCUCCCCGAAAGCUAUUUAGGUAGCGCCUCGUGAAUUCAUCUCCGGGGGUAGAGCACUGUUUCGGCUAGGGGGCCAUCCCGGCUUACCAACCCGAUGCAAACUGCGAAUACCGGAGAAUGUUAUCACGGGAGACACACGGCGGGUGCUAACGUCCGUCGUGAAGAGGGAAACAACCCAGACCGCCAGCUAAGGUCCCAAAGUCAUGGUUAAGUGGGAAACGAUGUGGGAAGGCCCAGACAGCCAGGAUGUUGGCUUAGAAGCAGCCAUCAUUUAAAGAAAGCGUAAUAGCUCACUGGUCGAGUCGGCCUGCGCGGAAGAUGUAACGGGGCUAAACCAUGCACCGAAGCUGCGGCAGCGAACGUAUCACCCAAGACAACUUUACGGAGUUGACGAUUGACGGAGCGAAGCGACGUCAAAGCGUUCAUUAAAGUCGAGUUGGCUUAGGGAUACGUUCGUUGGGUAGGGGAGCGUUCUGUAAGCCUGUGAAGGUGUGUCGUGAGGCAUGCUGGAGGUAUCAGAAGUGCGAAUGCUGACAUAAGUAACGAUAAAGCGGGUGAAAAGCCCGCUCGCCGGAAGACCAAGGGUUCCUGUCCAACGUUAAUCGGGGCAGGGUGAGUCGACCCCUAAGGCGAGGCCGAAAGGCGUAGUCGAUGGGAAACGGGUUAAUAUUCCCGUACUUGGUGUUACUGCGAAGGGGGGACGGAGAAGGCUAUGUUGGCCGGGCGACGGUUGUCCCGGUUUAAGCGUGUAGGUGUGUGUUCCAGGUAAAUCCGGUUCACUUUAACACUGAGGCGUGACGACGAGGCACUACGGUGCUGAAGCAACAAAUGCCCUGCUUCCAGGAAAAGCCUCUAAGCAUCAGGUAACACGAAAUCGUACCCCAAACCGACACAGGUGGUCAGGUAGAGAAUACCAAGGCGCUUGAGAGAACUCGGGUGAAGGAACUAGGCAAAAUGGUGCCGUAACUUCGGGAGAAGGCACGCUGACACGUAGGUGAAGUGAUUUACUCAUGGAGCUGAAGUCAGUCGAAGAUACCAGCUGGCUGCAACUGUUUAUUAAAAACACAGCACUGUGCAAACACGAAAGUGGACGUAUACGGUGUGACGCCUGCCCGGUGCCGGAAGGUUAAUUGAUGGGGUCAGCGUAAGCGAAGCUCCUGAUCGAAGCCCCGGUAAACGGC
rnacentral:rRNA from 1 species